rnacentral:sRNA from 1 species
UAUUGGUUAGGAGCCAGGUCAGGCCCAA